rnacentral:rRNA from 1 species
AGAGUUUGAUCAUGGCUCAGAUUGAACGCUGGCGGCAUGCCUAACACAUGCAAGUCGAACGGCAGCACAGCAGUAGCAAUACUGUGGGUGGCGAGUGGCGGACGGGUGAGGAAUGCGUCGGAAUCUGCCCAGUUGUGGGGGAUAACUAGCCGAAAGGUUAGCUAAUACCGCAUACGACCGAGAGGUGAAAGCGGGGGACCGUAAGGCCUCGCGCGAUUGGAUGAGCCGACGCCGGAUUAGCUUGUUGGUGGGGUAAAGGCCUACCAAGGCGACGAUCCGUAGCUGGUCUGAGAGGAUGAUCAGCCACACUGGAACUGAGACACGGUCCAGACUCCUACGGGAGGCAGCAGUGGGGAAUAUUGGACAAUGGGCGCAAGCCUAAUCCAGCAAUGCCGCGUGUGUGAAGAAGGCCUUCGGGUUGUAAAGCACUUUUGUCCGGAACGAAAAGCGAUGGAUUAAUACUCUGUCGUGCUGACGGUACCGGGUGAAUAAGCACCGGCUAACUUCGUGCCAGCAGCCGCGGUAAUACGAAGGGUGCAAGCGUUAAUCGGAAUUACUGGGCGUAAAGCGUGCGUAGACGGCCUGUUAAGUCGGAUGUGAAAGCCCCGGGCUCAACCUGGGAAUGGCAUCCGAUACUGGUGGGCUAGAGUGCGGUAGAGGAGAGCGGAAUUCCCGGUGUAGCGGUGAAAUGCGUAGAGAUCGGGAGGAACAUCCGUGGCGAAGGCGGCUCUCUGGACCAGCACUGACGUUGAGGCACGAAAGCGUGGGGAGCAAACAGGAUUAGAUACCCUGGUAGUCCACGCCCUAAACGAUGUCGACUGGAUGUUGGGCACACUUUGGUGCUCAGUAUCGAAGCUAACGCGUUAAGUCGACCGCCUGGGGAGUAUGCGCGCAAGCGUGAAACUCAAAGGAAUUGACGGGGGCCCGCACAAGCGGUGGAGUAUGUGGUUUAAUUCGAUGCAACGCGAAGAACCUUACCUGGCCUUGACAUGUCUGGAAUCCUGCAGAGAUGCGGGAGUGCCUUCGGGAAUCAGAACACAGGUGCUGCAUGGCUGUCGUCAGCUCGUGUCGUGAGAUGUUGGGUUAAGUCCCGCAACGAGCGCAACCCUUGUCCUUAGUUGCCAGCGCGUAAUGGCGGGAACUCUAAGGAGACUGCCGGUGACAAACCGGAGGAAGGUGGGGAUGACGUCAAGUCAUCAUGGCC